GACGAACGCUGGCGGCGUGCUUAACACAUGCAAGUCGAACGAAGAGCGAUGGAAGCUUGCUUCUAUCAAUCUUAGUGGCGAACGGGUGAGUAACGCGUAAUCAACCUGCCCUUCAGAGGGGGACAACAGUUGGAAACGACUGCUAAUACCGCAUACGAUCUAAUCUCGGCAUCGAGGAUAGAUGAAAGGUGGCCUCUACAUGUAAGCUAUCACUGAAGGAGGGGAUUGCGUCUGAUUAGCUAGUUGGAGGGGUAACGGCCCACCAAGGCGAUGAUCAGUAGCCGGUCUGAGAGGAUGAACGGCCACAUUGGGACUGAGACACGGCCCAGACUCCUACGGGAGGCAGCAGUGGGGAAUCUUCCGCAAUGGACGAAAGACUGACGGAGCAACGCCGCGUGAGUGAUGACGGCCUUCGGGUUGUAAAGCUCGGUUAAUCGGGACGAAAGGCCUUCUUGCGAAUAGUGAGAAGGAUUGACGGUACCGGAAUAGAAAGCCACGGCUAACUACGUG
rnacentral:rRNA from 1 species